rnacentral:rRNA from 1 species
GAUGAACGCUGGCGGCGUGCUUAACACAUGCAAGUCGAACGGACUUAUGAUGAAACCUAGUGAUUCAUAAGUUAGUGGCGGACGGGUGAGUAACGCGUGGGUAACCUGCCUUACACUGGGGGAUAACACUUAGAAAUAGGUGCUAAUACCGCAUAAGCGCACAGCUUCGCAUGAAGCAGUGUGAAAAACUCCGGUGGUGUAAGAUGGACCCGCGUCUGAUUAGCUAGUUGGUGAGGUAGAGGCUCACCAAGGCAACGAUCAGUAGCCGGCCUGAGAGGGUGAACGGCCACAUUGGGACUGAGACACGGCCCAAACUCCUACGGGAGGCAGCAGUGGGGAAUAUUGGACAAUGGGGGAAACCCUGAUCCAGCGACGCCGCGUGAGUGAAGAAGUAUUUCGGUAUGUAAAGCUCUAUCAGCAGGGAAGAAAAUGACGGUACCUGACUAAGAAGCCCCGGCUAACUACGUGCCAGCAGCCGCGGUAAUACGUAGGGGGCAAGCGUUAUCCGGAUUUACUGGGUGUAAAGGGAGCCUAGACGGUGCAGCAAGUCUGAAGUGAAAUCCCGGGGCUCAACCCUGGAACUGCUUUGGAAACUGUUGAACUAGAGUGCAGGAGAGGUAAGUGGAAUUCCUAGUGUAGCGGUG